rnacentral:rRNA from 1 species
UACGGAGGGUGCAAGCGUUAUCCGGAUUCACUGGGUUUAAAGGGUGCGUAGGUGGGCAAGUAAGUCAGUGGUGAAAUCUCCGGGCUUAACCCGGAAACUGCCAUUGAUACUAUAGAUCUUGAAUUUUCCGGAGGUCAGCGGAAUAUGUCAUGUAGCGGUGAAAUGCUUAGAUAUGACAUAGAACACCGAUUGCGAAGGCAGCUGACUACAGGGACAUUGACACUGAGGCUCGAAAGCGUGGGGAUCAAACAGG